GCGUGGAGACAGGUGGUGCAUGGCUGUCGUCAGCUCGUGUCGUGAGAUGUUGGGUUAAGUCCCGCAACGAGCGCAACCCUCACCCCUGGUUGCCACCGGGUAAAGCCGAGCACUCGAGGGGAACUGCCAGCGUCAAGCUGGAGGAAGGCGGGGAUGACGUCAAGUCAUCAUGCCCCUUACGCCCUGGGCUACACACGUGCUACAAUGGCCGGUACAAAGGGACGCGAGACCGCGAGGUGGAGCUAAUCCCAAAAAACCGGUCUAAGUUCAGAUUGCAGUCUGCAACUCGACUGCAUGAAGGAGGAAUCGCUAGUAAUCGCGCAUCAGCACGGCGCGGUGAAUACGUUCCCGGGCCUUGUACACACCGCCCGUCACACCACGAAAGCUGUCUGUACUCGAAGUCGCUGAG
rnacentral:rRNA from 1 species